rnacentral:ncRNA from 1 species
CGCGCACGUCCUUAAAAGAAAGAGAAUUGCAACAAAUUGCAAUCAGUUGCAAAUCUUGAGGUUGAAAAGCGGAUGCAAUUUCCGGCGUGUGCA